rnacentral:rRNA from 1 species
UCACAACGGUAAAAGAUGAGCAUGCGUCCCAUUAGCUAGUUGGUAAGGUAACGGCUUACCAAGGCUACGAUGGGUAGGGGUCCUGAGAGGGAGAUCCCCCACACUGGUACUGAGACACGGACCAGACUCCUACGGGAGGCAGCAGUGAGGAAUAUUGGACAAUGGGCGCAAGCCUGAUCCAGCCAUGCCGCGUGCAGGAUGACGGUCCUAUGGAUUGUAAACUGCUUUUAUACGAGAAGAAACACUGCUUCGUGAAGCAGCUUGACGGUAUCGUAAGAAUAAGGAUCGGCUAACUCCGUGCCAGCAGCCGCGGUAAUACGGAGGAUCCAAGCGUUAUCCGGAAUCAUUGGGUUUAAAGGGUCCGUAGGCGGUUUAAUAAGUCAGUGGUGAAAGCCCAUCGCUCAACGGUGGAACGGCCAUUGAUACUGUUAAACUUGAAUUAUUAGGAAGUAACUAGAAUAUGUAGUGUAGCGGUGAAAUGCUUAGAGAUUACAUGGAAUACCAA